AAACUUAUCUUCUGCUGGGACUUCACUGUCACUCACGUAAAAGCUGUGAAGCUAAGGCAGAAGAACCUCAGCACGGAGAUAAGGGAGAACUUGUCGGAGAUCCUCCACGAGAAUGUCAAGUUCACAUUCCGCCAGCGGCUGGCCCGCUUUUCUGCUCACCUGGCAGCCUGGCUUGUCUCAACGGGAAUGGCUGGCGCCUGCUGUGCAGCUGUGUAUUACCUGGCUCAGUACAACUCUGAGGUAAGCAGAACACUGGGGAGAACCAGGUGAAGCGAUGGCCUGAUGGAGGGGGACAGGGAUGCCCCCUGUUCAAGCCAGGGUCUGUGGCCAGCGGGAGGAAGUCCUGGCCCACGGACUGAGAAUCUGC
rnacentral:lncRNA from 1 species